rnacentral:rRNA from 1 species
CCCGCAACGAGCGCAACCCCUGUCCUUUGUUGCCAGCACGUAAUGGUGGGAACUCAAGGGAGACUGCCGGUGAUAAACCGGAGGAAGGUGGGGAUGACGUCAAGUCAUCAUGGCCCUUACGGCCAGGGCUACACACGUGCUACAAUGGCGCGUACAGAGGGCUGCAAGCUAGCGAUAGUGAGCGAAUCCCAAAAAGCGCGUCGUAGUCCGGAUCGGAGUC